AUUGAACGCUGGCAACAUGCCUUACACAUGCAAGUCGAACGGCAGCACGGAGCUUGCUCUGGUGGCGAGUGGCGAACGGGUGAGUAAUAUGUCGGAACGUACCCAAGAGUGGGGGAUAACGUAGCGAAAGUUACGCUAAUACCGCAUACGAUCUAUGGACGAAAGCGGGGGAUCGCAAGACCUCGUGCUCCUGGAGCGGCCGAUAUCUGAUUAGCUAGUUGGUGGGGUAAAGGCCCACCAAGGCAUCGAUCAGUAGCUGGUCUGAGAGGACGAGCAGCCACACUGGAACUGAGACACGGUCCAGACUCCUACGGGAGGCAGCAGUGGGGAAUUUUGGACAAUGGGGGCAACCCUGAUCCAGCAAUGCCGCGUGAGUGAAGAAGGCCUUCGGGUUGUAAAGCUCUUUUGUCAGGGAAGAAAAGGGUCUGGCUAAUAUCCGGACCUCAUGACGGUACCUGAAGAAUAAGCACCGGCUAACUACGUGCCAGCCGCCGCCGUAACAC
rnacentral:rRNA from 1 species